UUCGGUGGAAAAUAAUGUGAAAAACAUUAACUGUUCUCGCAACGGUAAAAGAACGUGAAGUACAAGUCCGAGCACCACCCAGUA
rnacentral:ncRNA from 1 species